UACGUAGGGGGCGAGCGUUAUCCGAAUUUAUUGGGCGUAAAGCGUGUGUAGGCGGUUUAUUAAGUCUAAGAUCAAAGCCCGAGGCUCAACCUCGGUUCGUUUUAGAAACUGAUAGACUUGAGUAUAGUAGAGGCAAGUGGAAUUUCUAGUGUAGCGGUUAAAUGCGUAGAUAUUAGAAGGAACACCAGUGGCGAAGGCGACUUGCUGGGCUAUUACUGACGCUGAGGCACGAAAGCGUGGGGAGCAAAUAGG
rnacentral:rRNA from 1 species